CUUUGUCCUGAGUAAAUUUCCUAUGUCCACUGCAGGACAAAGGCCUCUCCCAGCAAUCUCCAAAUAAGCCUUGACUUGCACUAGCUGAUUACAAAUUAUG
rnacentral:lncRNA from 1 species